rnacentral:rRNA from 1 species
UACGUAGGGUGCGAGCGUUAAUCGGAAUUACUGGGCGUAAAGAGCGCGCAGGCGGUCGUUCAAGUCGAGUGUGAAAGCCCCCGGCUCAACUGGGGAGGGUCACUCGAUACUGAUCGACUUGAAGGCAGGAGAGGGAAGCGGAAUUCCCGGUGUAGUGGUGAAAUGCGUAGAUAUCGGGAGGAACACCAGUGGCGAAGGCGGCUUCCUGGCCUGCUCUUGACGCUGAGGCGCGAAAGCUAGGGUAGCAAACGGG